rnacentral:rRNA from 1 species
AUUGAACGCUGGCGGCAGGCCUAACACAUGCAAGUCGAGCGAGCGGCGGACGGGUGAGUAAUGUAUGGGGACUGCCCGAUAGAGGGGGAUAACUACUGGAAACGGUGGCUAAUACCGCAUACUAUCGGAUAACCCAUAUGGGAUUAGCUAGUAGGUGGGGUACAGGCUCACCUAGGCGACGAUCUCUAGCGGGUCUGAGAGGAUGAUCAGCCACACGGGAGCUGAGACACGGCCCAGACUCCUACGGAGGCAGCAGUGGGGAAGAUUGCACAAUGGGCGCAAGCCUGAUGCAGCCAUGCCGCGUGUAUGAAGAAGGCCUUCGGGGUGUAAAGGACUUUCAGCGAGGAGGCGUUACUCGCAGAAGAAGCACCGGCUAACUCCGUGCCAGCAGCCGCGGUAAUUC